CGAGAAAGCCUUGGCUUGCCAGGGCGAGUAAAGUGGCGCACGGGUGAGUAACGCGUGGGUAAUCUACCCUCGAAUUUGGGAUAACACCUCGAAAGGGGUGCUAAUACCGGAUAACAUCAUCAUUUCUUCGGAGGUUAUGAUCAAAGGUGGCCUCUACAAGUAAGCUACUGUUUGGGGAUGAGCCCGCGUACCAUUAGCUAGUUGGUAGGGUAACGGCCUACCAAGGCAACGAUGGUUAGCUGGUCUGAGAGGAUGAUCAGCCACACUGGAACUGACACACGGUCCAGACUCCUACGGGAGGCAGCAGUGAGGAAUUUUGCGCAAUGGGGGAAACCCUGACGCAGCAACGCCGCGUGAGUGAUGAAGGCCUUCGGGUCGUAAAACUCUGUCAAGUGGGAAGAACCUACGUAAGGGUAAUAUUCUUAUGUACUGACGGUACCACUGAAGGAAGCACCGGCUAACUCCGUGCCAGCAGCCGCGGUAAUACGGAGGGUGCAAGCGUUAUUCGGAAUUAUUGGGCGUAAAGGGCGCGUAGGCGGUUUUGUAAGUCAGAUGUGAAAGCCCGGGGCUUAACCCCGGAAGUGCAUUUGAUACUGCGAGACUUGAGUAUGGGAGGGGGAAGUGGAAUUCCUGGUGUAGAGGUGAAAUUCGUAGAUAUCAGGAGGAACACCAGUGGCGAAGGCGACUUCCUAGACCAAUACUGACGCUGAGGCGCGAAGGCGUGGGGAGCAACAGGAUUAGAUACCCUGGUAGUCCACGCCGUAAACGAUGAAUGCUAGGUGUUGGGGUCUACGGACUUCA
rnacentral:rRNA from 1 species